ACCCUCCAGUUUGCUUACCUGUCAAAUCUGAACACUGAUUUGAGUGGUUAUAAAAGGAGGAAAAUUAAAAUUGUAACUGACUUCAAUUUCUUUUGACACACAAGCUAGUUUCAAACCAAC
ensembl:snoRNA